CCUACGGGGGGCAGCAGUGGGGAAUAUUGGACAAUGGGGGCAACCCUGAUCCAGCCAUGCCGCGUGUGUGAAGAAGGCCCUCGGGUUGUAAAGCACUUUCAGUGAGGAAGAACGCCUGGUGGUUAAUACCCAUCAGGAAAGACAUCACUCACAGAAGAAGCACCGGCUAACUCCGUGCCAGCAGCCGCGGUAAUACGGAGGGUGCGAGCGUUAAUCGGAAUUACUGGGCGUAAAGCGAGCGUAGGUGGCUUGAUAAGCCGGUUGUGAAAGCCCCGGGCUCAACCUGGGAACGGCAUCCGGAACUGUCAAGCUAGAGUGCAGGAGAGGAAGGUAGAAUUCCCGGUGUAGCGGUGAAAUGCGUAGAGAUCGGGAGGAAUACCAGUGGCGAAGGCGGCCUUCUGGACUGACACUGACACUGAGGUGCGAAAGCGUGGGUAGCAAACAGGAUUAGAUACCCUUGUAGUC
rnacentral:rRNA from 1 species